GGUCCAAAUUUAACUCUUGUGUCUCCAAAUGAUAGAGGCCUGAUGGAACAAUCUGGCAUUCCGAUCUUCCUCACUGAUCCACUGUAUCCGAGACUUCUAACUCCACAAAACCUUCUACUGCCUCAGCAAUGAAUAUGCAAGGAUAGCUAAUCUAGAGAUUCGUCAGGUCACCCUUAGUGAGUCUACCCUCCAGAUCCUCUCCCUCCUAUAGCUUGGAAAUGGCAACUUCCAUAGCCUCCAACCUUGAAAAAAUGCCCCCACCUCAACUCGG
rnacentral:lncRNA from 1 species